UGAGUCGGCCGGACGGCCGCGUCGGGCGCCCUUCGGGGACCGCCCGCCGAGGAAAGUCCGGGCUCCUCAGAGCAGGGUGGUGGGUAACGCCCACCCGGGGCGACCCGCGGGCAAGUGCCACAGAAAGCAAACCGCCCCGUCCUGGCCCUUUGGGGGCGAAAGGCGGGGUAAGGGUGAAACGGUGGUGUAAGAGACCACCAGCGCCCAGGGAGACCUGGGCGGCUAGGUAAACCCCACCCGGAGCAAGGCCAGACAGGCGGCGUUCGAGGGUUGCUCGCCCGAGCCGCCGGGUGGGCCGCUGGAGGCCCGUGGCGACACGGGUCCUAGAUGGAUGGCCGUCUUCAAUGACAGAACCCGGCUUACAGGCCGGCUCAUCCG
rnacentral:RNase_P_RNA from 1 species